ACCAUAGCUUCCAUCAUUAACCCCUGGCCUGGCCAACAGUGCAUCAAAGUGCAUCAUGUGCAUGCUGCAGGUCCUUCCCGAAAGCAGGACGAGUAAAGCAUCAUCACUGGAAUAUGAUCGUGGAGGAUUCAAAUGCCUUUAGCAAGAUACACAGGAGCAAAGGAUUAUGUAUCUUGAGUCUGCUCUCAGAUUUUUUUUUAAUUACAUGAAAGAAUUUGGCCUAUUAAAAUAAGAAUAUCUUAAAAUAGAGUGAGAUUCCUAAUCCUCACCAAAUUUCUGAGUGUUUGUAUAGAGGAAGACAAAACCCACUCAUCCACGCAUGUUGAGGAUGACCCCCAUUCUCCCCGAAGCCCUCAAUGACUGGACCAGCUCUCACAGAUGUCUGUUUCCUUGAACUCUCAAACCUAAACUACGGGGAAGUGUUACGCUUGUUUCUAUUGUAUGCUGUAAUUUCCUGGGUCUCACUAGCACACUUAUAACCGGGACACAAAAGCAUUCCUCAGCUACAUUUUUUCAUUGACAAGAUCUUUCAAAAGUGUAGAUAGAAUAAUUUAUUUUGAAAAUCAAGAUUAUCUCAUGCUUCCUUGUUACUGGCAAAGGAACCAAAUGAAAAGUCAAGAUAUUCAUAGAUUUUCAUUCAAUUGUUUAAAAAAGAUUUAUUGAGAUUGGUAGUGGGAUGCAGAAUUCCUUCUUUCAGUAAUGGAGGUGCAGUAAAAGCCAUGACAUACGUCAUGACAGUCCAGAGAGAAGGAAACCAAGUCUUCUCAAAUGAAAUAAAGUUCUGAGCAUUAAUCUAUAGUGGUAUUUCCAUCCUACUACCUCAAAUACAAAUACAUACCAUGGGUUGCUCACAUUUCUUCUGCUCUCUUAUGUAGCACCACUGAAACCUUCUGUGAAUCACUGUC